ACCAAGGCCUUGCGUAAGAGGCCCCCUUUGGGUUGAAAACUGGCUUUGGUUCUGAGGCCAAGACUGCUCAAUGAUUUUACGUUGUUUAUUCGGAGUCGUAACAUCGUUCAUCAUGGGUGCCUUUUGCUUUCGUACUCCAGCAGCUGCACGCUGUAAAUCAAAUGGGCCGAAGGCUUGUCCUUGUUUACAGUCACUGUCCAUAGUUGAUAAUGGUGAUUACAACUCUCCAACUUUGUAAGAUUACAAUCAAGUGGUAAUAAUAACUAGCAAUAUGGUCAACCGUCAUUAAUCUAGCAUCUUGAUUACCGCGGCGUUCAUUUGUUGUAAUUUUGAAUUUUCCACUCGGUUUGAAUUUUUGGAACUCUGUUAUGAUAUUAUUGCACAUACCGGAAAAGUUUGUUUUGUUGCCAAUAAUCGAAUUUUGGCAAUUAGCUAAAUCUUAAAACAGCUAAAAUUUAAAAAGUAACAAUUUUCCAUAAACUCGUGUUAUUUGGUUUCCAGUUUUGACUAUGAGUUUGACUAAUGUAUUCUAUAUUUGAAAUUCAUUCAAAAUGCCUGUUGACAACACAAAGCGUUGAUUGAACAUUGGUCAGCCAAAUUCUGCAAUCUUCAGUCACCGCUCACAGAGCUGUAGUUCGCGAAGAAAAACCAGUCAAUAAAUAUGUUUAUUUGUAGCAUCGAACUACCCGAAAAAGUGUACAUUUUGAUCUCAUACGAAUAUUGCAUGUGGUGAGUUUGUGAUGUUUGAAAAAAUUCGGUAUUUAUUUUUUUGCAUACCUAAGAAAAAUAAUUGCACUUUACUCACGAUCUAUGGCACAUUUAUUUUACUAUUAACUUUUGAAUUAUUAGCACAAUCCAUAUAAUUUUCAUACGUAUAAUCGAACAUUUCGAAAUCAAUUUGAUAUCUUUUAUACAAAUUAUAAAUCAUAUCCUGAUUAAGAGCAUUAAAAUAGCUACAGGUUCGGUCAUAGUCGGUGAAGCCACUUCUUGUUUCUUCCAAUCUUGGAUGAAAUUAUAGUUUAUAUCGCAUACUGAACAGUGUGAAUAAUAACUCUCCCAAUGCACGUCAUCUUUUGCUGUAGGCUGCCGCAGCAGCCAGACUAUAAAUUCUUUGAAAGUAGGAACCAACUUCAAUCUGAAAUCAACAGGUGAGUUUUCAUUAUUACAGAGUAUUCUUAGUCAUUCUAACAAGUUAUGUAUAAUUUAACC